UAACCUUAAACCCCUUUUAGAAAUAAACUCAACCAUCGGGAAACCCGCCGGUGCGCGCCAUUUACAACUGCAAGUGCUGUAACAUCUACCUCCAUGGAGAGCAAUUUAAAAGACCAUCAAGAGGUUACUCCUGUGCUGAAAGAGAUGGAGCUGUCUUCAAGUCCAGUAAGACCAGUAAAAGAUAGUAAAAGAAGGAAGUUGAACAGUGAGAAGUCAACUCCCACUGUACAAGAUAACCGGAGACCAUCAACUCGUGUAAGAACUCUCAAGGAAUUCUUCAAAAGCCCCGAAGAAGCCAAAGAGCCGUUGGUCAA